CCUACGGGCGGCAGCAGUCGAGAAUCAUUCACAAUGGGGGAAACCCUGAUGGUGCGACGCCGCGUGGGGGAAUGAAGGUCUUCGGAUUGUAAACCCCUGUCAUGUGGGCGCAAAUUAAAAAGAUAGUACCACAAGAGGAAGAGACGGCUAACUCUGUGCCAGCAGCCGCGGUAAUACAGAGGUCUCAAGCGUUGUUCGGAAUCACUGGGCGUAAAGGGUGCGUAGGCUGUUUCGUAAGUCGUGUGUGAAAGGCGCGGGCUCAACCCGCGGACGGCACAUGAUACUGCGAGACUAGAGUAAUGGAGGGGGAACCGGAAUUCUCGGUGUAGCAGUGAAAUGCGUAGAUAUCGGGAGGAACACUCGUGGCGAAGGCGGGUUCCUGGACAUUAACUGACGCUGAGGCACGAAGGCCAGGGGAGCGAAAGGGAUUAGAUACCCGGGUAGUC
rnacentral:rRNA from 1 species